UACGUAUGGAGCAAGCGUUAUCCGGAUUUACUGGGCGUAAAGGGAGCGUAGGCGGCCUGCCAAGUCUGAUGUGAAAUACCGGGGCUCAACCCCGGGGCUGCAUUGGAAACUGGCAGGCUGGAGUGCCGGAGAGGCAGGCGGAAUUCCUGGUGUAGCGGUGAAAUGCGUAGAUAUCAGGAGGAACACCGGCGGCGAAGGCGGCUUACUGGACUGUAACUGACGUUGAGGCUCGAAGGCGUGGGGAGCAAACAGG
rnacentral:rRNA from 1 species